ACUCCUACGGGAGGCAGCAGUGGGGAAUAUUGCACAAUGGGCGCAAGCCUGAUGCAGCCAUGCCGCGUGUAUGAAGAAGGCCUUCGGGUUGUAAAGUACUUUCAGCAGUGAGGAAGGUGGGUAUGUUAAUAGCAUACUCAUUUGACGUUAGCUGCAGAAGAAGCACCGGCUAACUCCGUGCCAGCAGCCGCGGUAAUACGGAGGGUGCGAGCGUUAAUCGGAAUUACUGGGCGUAAAGCGCAUGCAGGUGGUUGUUAAGUCAGAUGUGAAAGCCCGGGGCUCAACCUCGGAAUUGCAUUUGAAACUGGCAAACUAGAGUACUGUAGAGGGGGUAGAAUUUCAGGUGUAGCGGUGAAAUGCGUAGAGAUCUGAAGGAAUACCGGUGGCGAAGGCGGCCCCCUGGACAGAUACUGACACUCAGAUGCGAAAGCGUGGGGAGC
rnacentral:rRNA from 1 species